GGCAGCGCGGGGCAACCUGGCGGCGAGUGGCGAACAGGUGAGUAAUAUAUCGGAACGUACCCUGGAGUGGGGGAUAACGUAGCGAAAGUUACGCUAAUACCGCAUACGAUCUAAGGAUGAAAGUGGGGGAUCGCAAGACCUCAUGCUCCUGGAGCGGCCGAUAUCUGAUUAGCUAGUUGGUAGGGUAAAAGCCUACCAAGGCAUCGAUCAGUAGCUGGUCUGAGAGGACGACCAGCCACACUGGAACUGAGACACGGUCCAGACUCCUACGGGAGGCAGCAGUGGGGAAUUUUGGACAAUGGGCACAAGCCUGAUCCAGCAAUGCCGCGUGAGUGAAGAAGGCCUUCGGGUUGUAAAGCUCUUUUGUCAGGGAAGAAACGGUGAGCUCUAAUACAGUUUGCUAAUGACGGUACCUGAAGAAUAAGCACCGGCUAACUACGUGCCAGCAGCCGCGGUAAUACGUAGGGUGCAAGCGUUAAUCGGAAUUACUGGGCGUAAAGCGUGCGCAGGCGGUUUUGUAAGUCUGUCGUGAAAUCCCCGGGCUCAACCUGGGAAUGGCGAUGGAGACUGCAAGGCUAGAGUUUGGCAGAGGGGGGUAGAAUUCCACGUGUAGCAGUGAAAUGCGUAGAUAUGUGGAGGAACACCGAUGGCGAAGGCAGCCCCCUGGGUCAAAACUGACGCUCAUGCACGAAAGCGUGGGGAGCAAACAGGAUUAGAUACCCUGGUAGUCCACGCCCUAAACGAUGUCUACU
rnacentral:rRNA from 1 species